GUGGGCUGUUUGCUGACUGCCUCUGUAAAUAGGCUAGUAGCAUUAGCGUCGAUGAGUAGUUUGAUGCAAUGUUUGAAAUAAGUUAUGUACAGCUGAAGAAUUACUACCUGUACGGUAUACUGACGGUGCAAAGUGUUGAUGUCGGAGAAAAUCCUGAGCAGUGACGCACGCCUUGCUUUUUUGUUGGAAAGGUUUUAAUCAUCAGGACGACUCCUCGUAAACAACAUCUCUAAAAAUGAACACAGGAGAGAACACUGUUCAGAUGAGUUGCUGUGAAACUUGGGUACAUGCUUAAAGAGAGAUGACAGAGCAUCCGUCAAUGUAGGCGGAUAAUCGUCAUUGACAGGCUGAAAUCAUUAACUAAAUGUAAGCAAAUUUCAAGAGCACUUGUGCGGGACCAGAGAGUGCGCACAGAAUAAAACUAUGAUGAAUUUAUGAGAGAAGCAAACAGAGACCUUCUGACAUCAAUAAAUUGGCACUGUACGAAGACCUCCCAAUGGAUCCACAUCGCCUAACCUGCACACGUCAGUUCAUUACUCAAGGAGUCCUCAAGGACAGUGUCUCUUCAAUAUUCAAUGACUACAGUGCAAUAACUUGUUUUCUUGGAAAUGUAUAUGAACAUGUAAUGGCUCCCAGCGGACACUGCAAGAAUAUUAUUGUAGCGAGCCAGAAAUGAAGCUAUUGCUGUCCAACUGAGUUUUUCUUUUUCACACCAACAUAUCCAAGACACUUUUAUUAAUGAAUCUAAAUCUAUUCAGUAAGUCACUUUCUAUGUUAUUAUAAGC
ensembl:lncRNA